CCUAUUGCUAUCGGGGUGGGACUAAGACAUGCGAGUUGAACGUUUCGCAGCCAUGAGUGAAACGUGGCGUACGGCUCAGUAACACGUGGCUAACCUACCCUCGAGACGGAGACACCCCCGGGAAACUGGGGUUAAUCCCAGAUAGGUGAGAACUCCUGGAAUGGUUUUUCGCCCAAAAGAUGUUGGAAUCAUGCUUUCCAGCAUUGCUCGAGGAUGGAGCCGCGGCCGAUCAGGUAGUUGGUGAGGUAGUGGCUCACCAAGCCUAUAACCGGUACGGGCCGUGGGAGCGGGAGCCCGGAGAUGGGAACUGAGACAAGGUCCCAGGCCCUACGGGGCGCAGCAGUCGCGAAAACUCCGCAAUGCACGAAAGUGUGACGGGGCUACCCCGAGUGCCGUCCGUUGAGGAUGGCUUUUCUCUGCUGUAAGGAGGCGGAGGAAUAAGGAGAGGGCAAGUCUGGUGUCAGCCGCCGCGGUAAUACCAGCUCUCCGAGUGAUAGGGAUGAUUAUUGGGCUUAAAGCGUCCGUAGCCGGCCCUUCAAGUCUCUCGUUAAAUCCAGCGAUUCAAUCGUUGGACUGCGGGAGAUACUGUUGGGCUAGGAGACGGGAGAAGCCGACGGUAUUUUCGGAGUAGGGGUAAAAUCCUAUAAUCCCGGGAAGACCACCAGUGGCGUAGGCGGUCGGCUAGCACGCGCUCGACGGUGAGGGACGAAAGCUGGGGGAGCGAACCGGAUUAGAUACCCGGGUAGUCCCAGCUGUAAACGAUGCGGACUAGGUGUUGGAGCGGCUACGAGCCGCUUCAGUGCCGCAGGGAAGCCAUUAAGUCCGCCGCCUGGGGAGUACGGCCGCAAGGCUGAAACUUAA
rnacentral:rRNA from 1 species